GCGUCGCCCUUGCCCGUGGCCGCACACCACACCAUAGCCGGCAGCAGCAAAGCAGAGCGCGCCGAGGCCAGCUCCCUGGUCGAGGCGCCGGAGCGCCGCCCUCCGCUAGCUUCUAGCCCGUGGUCUCCGCCAGCUGCUAGCCCUCCGCUCACUACUCGUCGGUCGGCGCUACCCCGUGGCCACGCUUUCGGCCGCUGCCCACUAGGCCAGAUCCAGCGCGUCGCGUGCUCGGCGCGAUGGCCAGCAACCGCGACAACCUCCCGAGCUGUAGGAGCACAGAGCCGGCCUGCCGGCGAGCCUGACUGCUCCAGUUCUCUCCGAAGGCUGACUUCGAUUUGAUUUCUUCGACUUCAGAGUGUGUCGCAGAUGGACAGAAGUUGGGUGAAUACUAGGCUAUUUAGCAAGGAACAUCUAGAAGGGUCACUGAGUUCAUGAACUUUGUUUCUGCUAAUUUGGAUGAUAGUCAGGAGAUAUUAUGUCCAUGUCGUAAGUGUUUGAAUCGGUUACAUCAACAUAAAGGAGAAGUUGAGACUCACUUAUAUAUUUAUGGGAUGACUAGCACGUACACUAAUUGGAUACAUCAUGGAGAAGCAUUGGAUGAUAUAAUUGGCUGCAGUGUUGAAGCUGGUGAUAUUGGCUGCAAUGUUGAAACUGAGAUGAAUGAGCCUAAAGAUGACCCAGAUGAUGAUCGAAUCCAUGAGAUGGUACAUGAGUUGUACACAGCCGAAGACCAUGAACCAGCAACAAAGUCCAAGUUUGCAACCAUAUUAGAAGAGAUGAAACAGCAACUACACCCUAAUGGUCCCUAUACCAGAUUUUCUUUUGUGGUGAAGUUGCUACACAUCAAGUAAUUUUAUAGAAUAAGCAAUGUUGCGUUCGAUGCUUUUUUGAAGUUGUUAAGUGUACAAUUCCCAAAAUGUUCUAUUCCUGCAUCUUAUGCUGAAGCGAAGAAAGUUAUUCGUGCAUUGGGACUUGGAUAUGAUUCAAUACAUGUUUGUCCGAAUAACUGUGUUUUGGUUAGAAAGGAGUUGGCUAAAAUGGAUAAUUGCCCAGUAUGUGGUGCUUCAAGAUGGAAGGAUGAAGAUACAAGAAAGCAAAUUCCAAACAAGGUUUUGAGGCAUUUUCCUGUGGUUCCAAGGUUGCAAAGGAUGUUUGCAUCCAAAAAGCUUUCAGAGCAGGCACAAUGGCACAAGUUGAAGAGAAAACCAGUGCACAAUGAACUUAGCCAUCCAGCUGAUGGCGAGGCAUGGAAGGAUUUUGAUAGGAAAUAUGACUGGUUUGCAAAAGAUGCAAGGAAUGUCCAACUUGACCUCGCUACUGAUGGGUUUAAUCCAUUUGGGAAGAUGAGCGCCUCGUUCAGCAUGUGGCCAGUAUUCCUUAUUCCUUAUAAUUUUCCUCCAUGGGAAUGUAUGGAGCAAUCCAACUUCAUGAUGGGCCUACUCAUUCCUGGUCCGACAAGCCCAGGAAAGGAUAUGGAUCUCUUCUUGCAACCCCUGAUUGAUGAGUUGUUAGAUCUUUGGAAAGGUGUCCCUACCUAUGAUGCUCUGACUAAGAAAUCAUUUGAUCUUCAUGCUACAGUUAUAUGGUGCAUUCAUGACUAUCCAGCACUGAGCACACUUUCAGGCAGAGUUACUACAGGUUACUAUGCCUGUGUUCGUUGUGACAAAAAUCCUUGCUCUAGAAGAUUAAGGAACAAGAUUUGUUAUAUUGGCCAUCGACGUUUUCUCCCACGGGACCAUGUUUGGAGGACAAAAUUUUUUUUCGAUGGACAGACCGAAGAACGUGAGCAGCCUGAGGAAUUUACUAUGGAUGAGCUGAAUGAGCAAUUGGCGAGGGUUUCACAUGUUAAACCUGGGAACCAUCCUGAUAACAAAAAGAGAAAGAGACAAGAAGAAGGUCAAUGCUGGAAGCGAAGGGCGAGUUUGUGGGAUUUGCCAUAUUGGUCAAAUUUGAAGUUACGUCACAAUCUUGAUGUAAUGCAUAUCGAGAAAAAUAUAUGUGAGGCCCUUCUCGGGACAUUUCUCGACAUUACAGGGAAGUCAAAGGACUCAAUUAAUGCAAGGCUUGAUUUGGAAGAUAUGGGUGUGAGGAAAAAUUUACACUUGAAGCCUGAUGGGAAUUCGUACACUCUCCCACACGCUUCAUAUACGAUGACUAAAACCCAGAAGCUUGCUUUUUGUGCUUUUAUAAAGAAUGUGAAAUUCCCAGAUGGAUAUGCCUCCAGCCUAUCAAGGUGUAUUUCUGCUGAUGAAUGCAAAGUACAGGCAUUGAAAACGCAUGAUUAUCAUAUCCUUCUGCAGAGGAUAUUGCCUGUAAGCCUCCGAGGAAUCCUGGAUAAGGAAAUUUAUGAAGCAAUUGCUGAAUUAGGUAACUUUUUUCAGCAAAUAUGUGCUAAGACAUUGAAGGUAGAUGUCUUGAACAAAAUGAGAAGUGAAAUCCCAAUAAUAUUGUGCAAGCUUGAGAAAAUUUUUCCACCUUUUUUUUGAUGUCAUGGUACACUUUUCCAUUCAUUUAAUCGAUGACGCAAUCCUUAGGGGUCCGGUUCAGUAUGGAUGGAUGUACCCAGUUGAGCGUAGGUUGCUUACUUUGAAGCGUUUUGUGAGGAACAUGGCAAGACCCGAGGGGUCCAUUGCAGAGGCAUAUGUCGCAAACGAGUGCUUGAAUGCUUGCUCUAGGUAUUUUGAUGAUGUUGACACACGACACAAUUGUGAGGGCAGGAAUAGAGAGCGUGUAGUUUUGAGAGAAGGUGGCUUAUCUAUUUUCCAGCAUGGAGUCACUCUUCUUGGUGCAUCGAGGAUGACGUACAAUGAGAAGGAUUAUGACAAGAUGCUUUGGUAUAUCCUCAACAAUACUCCGGAGGUCGAGCCAUUUAUAGAGAUAUGCAGGACAGAGUUGGAGAGUGCUGGCAAUGUUGAUGUUGAUAGGGCUCUUGCUAAGGAAUUUGCAGGAUGGUUUAAUAAACACCUUGCAACCAGAAAAUUUGUGCAUGGAGAAGAAGUCAAUGAAGACCUAUAUGCAUUGGCAAGUGAACCACAUCUUAGAGUUCAUUUAUUUUCAGGAUGUCUUGUUAAUGGUGUUCGCUAUCACACCUUGGACCGUGAGAGAAGUAGAAAAACACAAAACAGUGGUGUCAUGGUUGAGGGCUCACAUAAUGGAGGAGAUAUAGACUUGUAUGGUCAGUUGAAAGAAAUAAUUCAGUUGCAGUACAACUCUGAUUCGAACAGUCAAAGGACAGUAGUUUUAUUUCAGUGUAAUUGGUUUGACACUUGUAGCAAGAAGUCUAGGAUUAAAGAUGAUGGCCAUUUCAAAAGUGUCAGCCAUGGCAGUUGCUGGUACAAGGAUGAUCCUUUCAUCUUUGCCACACAAGCAACAAAGGUUUUCUACUUAGAAGAUAACAAGCAUGGUGAGCCUUGGAAAGUUGUUCAAAAAUUUUCCCAUAGGCACUUGUGGAAUGUGCCCGAAGAAGAAAAUGAUGACCUGCCGGCCCAGGCAGAGCAUGAAUUGUCAUACCAAGAUGAUGAGCAAGAAAAUACUAGUUUUCAGGUUGCAGAUCUUGAGAGAGCUUCAAUCAACGAGCAGCCUAGCAAUUAUGAAGAUGGUAUUUGUGUUCAGGCUUCCCUAGUUGAUCAGAUCCAGAGGGAAAGGGAAUUGGAAGUUGAAGAAAAUGGCUUUGAAGAUGAUGCUGACGAAACUGUGAGACAAUAUGACAGUGAAAAUGAAGGGCCAAUCCAUGAUGAUGGUGAAUAUAGUGAUUUUGAGUAAAAUAUCUGUGUAUGGCUAAGUCCCACCAUAACCUGCUGUUAGAACAUGGCUGUCAGUUUAAAUUGUGAUCUGAGGAUUUGAUUGUUGUGUAUGAUGUUGUUUGAAUAUUUGAUGUUUGUGUUUUUGUGCAUUUGUUCUUUUCUGAAGUAUAUGUAUGAGGGGACUCCUUUGAAUAUAUCUGCUGACAGCAAUUUUUAA